CACCGAGCCACCUCAGCCACCGGUCACUUCACUCCACAUCCAGAGCGGUUGGACCAACGGAGAGGCGGCGGCGGCGGCCGGACCAAGGCACGGCCAUGGAUCUGGAAGGGAAGAUCUGCAAGCUGGCUGCACGUGCAGCGGCCACCUCGCCGGCGCUGGUGAGGAAGGCUGUGGGGGGGCACUGGAGCGCAGCAGCGCCGCCCGCGCGGCCGCCGACGUCCUGAUCUAUCAGUUCCUGUCCGCUGUCUUCAUCUUCUUCGCGACCGGCUUCUUGAACCUCGUCGCGGUCGAGGCCUGCGGCGGGAAGAACUGCACCGUCGUCUCCAUCCUGUUCGCGCUCUCGUAAACUUCCGGCAUGAUCGCCCUGCUUCUCUUAGCGCCGGCGUGCGUGCUCUUCUUCCUGCGCGCCGCGUGCAGCAGCAGCGACAGCGAGGUCAAGGAAGAGAAUGAGGUCGAGGAUCGCUCUGAGAUCUUCCCGUGGCCCCUGAUCUGGCCGGUGCAAGGGUUCAUCACCGUGGCGACGUUGGCGGCACCCAUCGCCUUCGUUCUUCAGAUGUGUGGAUUUCGAGAGGCUUCUUACUUAAUCUGCGUCGCGGCUGUGUUGUGCUCGGUCCUACUCCUCGCCCUCUUCUACAUCGCUGCUGCCGUGGCGAUCUGGAGGAUGAGUCCUCAACAGCGCAGCAUCGCUGGCAUGCUCAGGAUGAGUCUCAGGCUAGCGACUAACAAGGUGGCGGAGUAGCCCAGCUUCACCUACGUACUCAGGUGCACAGGAAGAAUUUCGAGGUGGCCGCAGAAGAUGAUGGAGAUCGAGUACUACUAUACUACUACCAGUGCAGGAGUGCUUCUGUUUCCUAGCUACUACUACGGUACUACCUAUAUAUGUUGCUCUUGUGAACAAUUAAGAGAUGGACAGGUCGAUCGUGUGAUGCGUAGUUAUGUAGUAUCUAGUAGUAUAUAACUUAGUCUCAGUAAGCUUGAUUCGAUGCGAGGUCAGAGCUGUCACUAUGGCUGUUUGGUUAAUAAUAUGAAGUCUGAACCGGACCUCUAGCAUGGGUUAUAUUUACCUUA